GUUCUUGUAGUUGAAUAAACAACGAUGGUUUUUCAGGCCAUAGGUCUCGGAUAAAGGCCGGGUAAGAAU
rnacentral:tRNA from 1 species